rnacentral:rRNA from 1 species
ACGAGUGGCGCACGGGUGCGUAACGCGUAUGCAACCUACCCUUUACUGGGGGAUAGCCCGGAGAAAUUCGGAUUAAUACCCCAUGGUACUAUAAUAGAGCAUUAUAUAAUAGUUAAAGAUCUAUUGGUAAAGGAUGGGCAUGCGUGACAUUAGUUAGUUGGUAAGGUAACGGCUUACCAAGACGAUGAUGUCUAGGGGUUCUGAGAGGAAGGUCCCCCACACUGGUACUGAGACACGGACCAG